rnacentral:rRNA from 1 species
AACAAACGCUGGCGGCGUGCCUAAUACAUGCAAGUCGAACGGGGAAAGCUUUCGGGUGAGUACUAGUGGCGCACGGGUGAGGAACGCGUGGAUAAUCUGCCUUAGAGUGGGGGAUAACUAGUCGAAAGAUUAGCUAAUACCGCAUAAGACCACAGGAGCUGCGGCUCAAGGGGUCAAAGGUUUUUCGCUCUAAGAUGAGUCCGCGUAAGAUUAGCUAGUUGGUGAGGUAACGGCUCACCAAGGCGACGAUCUUUAACUGGUCUGAGAGGAUGAUCAGUCACACUGGAACUGAGACACGGUCCAGACUCCUACGGGAGACAGCAGUAGGGAAUAUUGCACAAUGGAGGAAACGCUGAUGCAGCGACGCCGCGUGAGUGAUGAAGGCCUUCGGGUCGUAAAGCUCUGUCGCAGGGGAAUAACACAAUGAAGGUACCCUGUAAGAAAGGAUCGGCUAACUUCGUGCCAGCCGCCGCGGUAAGAC